GUUGGAUGUGAAAUCCUAUGGCUCAACCAUAGAACUGCAUCCAAAACUGAGGGGCUAGAGUCUGGGAGGGGAAGAUGGAAUUAGUGGUGUAGGGGUAAAAUCCGUAGAGAUCACUAGGAAUACCAAAAGCGAAGGCGAUCUUCUGGAACAGUACUGACGCUGAGGCGCGAAAGCGUGGGGAGCAAACAGGAUUAGAUACCCUGGUAGUCCACGCCCUAAACUGUGAAUGUUAGUCGUCGGGAGGCUCGUCCUCUCGGUGAUGCAGCUAACGCAUUAAACAUUCCGCCUGGGGAGUACGGUCGCAAGAUUAAAACUCAAAGGAAUAGACGGGGACCCGCACAAGUGGUGGAGCAUGUGGUUUAAUUCGAAGAUACGCGAAGAACCUUACCUGGCCUUGACAUUGAUAGAAUCUGCUAGAGAUAGCGGAGUGCCCUUCGGGGAGCUUGAAAACAGGUGCUGCACGGCUGUCGUCAGCUCGUGUCGUGAGAUGUUGGGUUAAGUCCCGCAACGAGCGCAACCCUCGUCACUAGUUACUAACGGUUCGGCCGAGGACUCUAGUGAGACUGCCUUCGUAAGGAGGAGGAAGGUGAGGACGACGUCAAGUCAUCAUGGCCCUUACGGCCAGGGCGACACACGUGCUACAAUGGGAUGUACAAUGAGACGCAAUACCGCGAGGUGGAGCAAAUCUAUAAAGCAUCUCUCAGUUCGGAUUGUAGU
rnacentral:rRNA from 1 species